rnacentral:rRNA from 1 species
UAGGGAAUCUUCGGCAAUGGACGGAAGUCUGACCGAGCAACGCCGCGUGAGUGAAGAAGGUUUUCGGAUCGUAAAGCUCUGUUGUAAGAGAAGAACGAGUGUGAGAGUGGAAAGUUCACACUGUGACGGUAUCUUACCAGAAAGGGACGGCUAACUACGUGCCAGCAGCCGCGGUAAUACGUAGGUCCCGAGCGUUGCCCGGAUUUAUUGGGCGUAAAGCGAGCGCAGGCGGUUAGAUAAGUCUGAAGUUAAAGGCUGUGGCUUAACCAUAGUACGCUUUGGAAACUGUUUAACUUGAGUGCAAGAGGGGAGAGUGGAAUUCCAUGUGUAGCGGUGAAAUGCGUAGAUAUAUGGAGGAACACCGGUGGCGAAAGCGGCUCUCUGGCUUGUAACUGACGCUGAGGCUCGAAAGCGUGGGGAGCAAACAGGAUUAGAUACCCUGGUAGUCCACGCCGUAAACGAUGAGUGCUAGGUGUUAGACCCUUUCCGGGGUUUAGUGCCGCAGCUAACGCAUUAAGCACUCCGCCUGGGGAGUACGACCGCAAGGUUG